rnacentral:rRNA from 1 species
AACGAACGCUGGCGGCAUGCCUAACACAUGCAAGUCGAACGAAGUCUUCGGACUUAGUGGCGCACGGGUGCGUAACGCGUGGGAAUCUGCCCUUGGGUUCGGAAUAACAGUGAGAAAUUACUGCUAAUACCGGAUGAUGACUUCGGUCCAAAGAUUUAUCGCCCAAGGAUGAGCCCGCGUAAGAUUAGCUAGUUGGUGAGGUAAAGGCUCACCAAGGCGACGAUCUUUAGCUGGUCUGAGAGGAUGAUCAGCCACACUGGGACUGAGACACGGCCCAGACUCCUACGGGAGGCAGCAGUGGGGAAUAUUGGACAAUGGGCGAAAGCCUGAUCCAGCAAUGCCGCGUGAGUGAUGAAGGCCUUAGGGUUGUAAACUGCUUUUGUACGGAACGAAACGGUGAGCUCUAAUAACAGUUUGCUAAUGACGGUACCGUAAGAAUAAGCACCGGCUAACUACGUGCCAGCAGCCGCGGUAAAGUGACUACUG